rnacentral:piRNA from 1 species
GCAGACUACAGAGAUGCUCAGGUCUCGUGC